rnacentral:rRNA from 1 species
UGGGGAAUAUUGGACAAUGGGCGAAAGCCUGAUCCAGCAAUGCCGCGUGAGUGAUGAAGGCCUUAGGGUUGUAAAGCUCUUUUACCAGGGAUGAUAAUGACAGUACCUGGAGAAUAAGCUCCGGCUAACUCCGUGCCAGCAGCCGCGGUAAUACGGAGGGAGCUAGCGUUGUUCGGAAUUACUGGGCGUAAAGCGUACGUAGGCGGUGACUCAAGUCAGAGGUGAAAGCCUGGAGCUCAACUCCAGAACUGCCUUUGAAACUAGGUCGCUAGAAUCACGGAGAGGUGAGUGGAAUUCCGAGUGUAGAGGUGAAAUUCGUAGAUAUUCGGAAGAACACCAGUGGCGAAGGCGGCUCACUGGACGUGUAUUGACGCUGAGGUACGAAAGCGUGGGGAGCAAACAGGAUUAGAUACCCUUGUAGUCCCUGAGCGGGCUGGCAAGGCGCAU